rnacentral:rRNA from 1 species
UACGAAGGGGGCUAGCGUUGCUCGGAAUCACUGGGCGUAAAGGGUGCGUAGGCGGGUCUUUAAGUCAGGGGUGAAAUCCUGGAGCUCAACUCCAGAACUGCCUUCGAUACUGAGGAUCUUGAGUUCGGGAGAGGUGAGUGGAACUGCGAGUGUAGAGGUGAAAUUCGUAGAUAUUCGCAAGAACACCAGUGGCGAAGGCGGCUCACUGGCCCGGAACUGACGCUGAGACGCGAAAGCGUGGGGAGCAAACAGG